GACGAACGCUGGCGGCGUGCUUAACACAUGCAAGUCGAACGAAGUGGGGAACGGGCGCGUAAUACGUGGGUAACCUGCCCUCCUUUUUGGGUUAAGCCCUGGAAACGGGGUCUAAUACCGCAGCACGGGGGAUGGGCUCGCGGCCUAUCAGUUUGUUGGUGGGGUGAUGGCCUACCAAGGCGGUGACGGGUAGCGGGCGUGAGAGGGGGAACGGCCACAUAGAGACGGCGAAACGGCCCAGAGGCCGACGGGGGGGGGCAGUGGGGGAUAUUGCAGAAAGGGCGACAGACUGAUGCAGCGACGCCGCGUGGGGGAUGAGGGCUUUCGGGUUGUGAACCUAUUUAGCUAUCGAGAGGGUAUGUGGCGAAGAAGCGACGGCUAACUACGUGCCAGCAGCCGCGGUAAUUC
rnacentral:rRNA from 1 species